AUUGAACGCUGGCGGCAGGCUUAACACAUGCAAGUCGAGCGGAGAUGAGGUGCUUGCACCUUAUCUUAGCGGCGGACGGGUGAGUAAUGCUUAGGAAUCUGCCUAUUAGUGGGGGACAACAUUCCGAAAGGAAUGCUAAUACCGCAUACGUCCUACGGGCGAAAGCAGGGGAUCUUCGGACCUUGCGCUAAUCGAUGAGCCUAAGUCGGAUUAGCUAGUUGGGGGGGUAAAGGCCUACCAAGGCGACGAUCUGUAGCGGGUCUGAGAGGAUGAUCCGCCACACUGGGACUGAGACACGGCCCAGACUCCUACGGGAGGCAGCAGUGGGGAAUAUUGGACAAUGGGGGGAACCCUGAUCCAGCCAUGCCGCGUGUGUGAAGAAGGCCUUAUGGUUGUAAAGCACUUUAAGCGAGGAGGAGGCUACUGAGACUAAUACUCUGGGAUAGUGGACGUUACUCGCAGAAUAAGCACCGGCUAACUCUGUGCCAGCCGCCGCUGUAAUAC
rnacentral:rRNA from 1 species